rnacentral:lncRNA from 1 species
UCGGCUUCCUUCCAUCUCGCUCGCCACCCUCCUAUGUAUUUGUAUCCUAGAUACAUGUGAAUGACACCAGAUACAUGUGUAUCUAGAAUUAAGAUUGAAAGAGUUUUGCAUAUGUCACUUAGCUUUGCAUAUAAAACUCAGCUAGUUUUCCGUCAUGGAUGUGAAUGGAGCGGGUACGGGUUGAGCUCAAUUAUUGAUACGAAAGUUCACCUAGACUUGACAUCUUUACCAUCGCCGAAAGGCCACCGACAUUACAUGUUGCAAGGAGAAAAGAGACGAGUGAAUUUAUUAGUCCGUAGUAUAACGUAAAAGGGGAUUCACAUUUCACCACCGGGGGUUGGAUAAGUAAAGUACAGUAAUUUGAACUCAAUCCAUACGCACACACAUGAGACGGAUCCGAGAGUGAGAAAGAAGAAAACGGAAAAGAGAGAGAGAGAGAGAGUACCAUUUGAUCAGAAGAUGGGCUGAUGGUUUGAAUCGUAAAUGGUGGUGGCGAUGUUUGGAUCAAUGAGAAUCGAUUCAGAAUUGUCAGGCAGCUUGGCGAGGGUGGUUUCGCUUACGUUGAUAUCUGACCCUUCUAAUCCUGAAAUUUAA